rnacentral:rRNA from 1 species
UACGUAGGGGGCAAGCGUUGUCCGGAAUCAUUGGGCGUAAAGAGCGUGUAGGCGGCCAGAUAAGUCCGCUGUGAAAACUCGAGGCUCAACUUCGAGCUGUCGGUGGAAACUAUUUGGCUAGAGUCCGGAAGAGGAGAGUGGAAUUCCUGGUGUAGCGGUGAAAUGCGCAGAUAUCAGGAAGAACACCCGUGGCGAAGGCGGCUCGCUGGGACGUAACUGACGCUGAGGCGCGAAAGCGUGGGGAGCAAACAGG